UACGGGGGGAGCAAGCGUUGUUCGGAUUUACUGGGCGUAAAGGGCGCGUAGGCGGCCAGCGCAAGUCAGUUGUGAAAUCUCCGGGCUUAACUCGGAACGGCAACUGAUACUGCGCGGCUAGAGUGCAGAAGGGGCAACUGGAAUCUCGGGUGUAGCGGUGAAAUGCGUAGAUAUCGAGAGGAACACCUGCGGCGAAGGCGGGUUGCUGGGCUGACACUGACGCUGAUGCGCGAAAGCCAGGGGAGCGAACGGG
rnacentral:rRNA from 1 species